UAACUAACACACACACACCUUACGGUGGUGGUUUGAGUUUCUUUUCAUUAAUCUUUUGGAAAUUACAAUUACAAUGCUUUACUCAAGGAUAACACACACUAACUAACUAACACACACACACAACCCCCCUAGUGGUGGCUGGCGGUGGUAAAGGGUGGCAGCCACCACCUCACGGUGGUGGCAGUGGACUUCUUUGAUUUCCGGCCAACAAUCCUAAUUUUACAAACACAACACAACCCUAGCCACCCACCUUAUGGCACACUGCGAUGGCAGCCACCACCUCACGGUGGUGAUAGUGGCUAGUCCAUACUAUUCGUGAGAUCUUCCGACGGCAAUGAGCUUGUGACGACGGGAAAGGAUGGCGGAGCACAACCGGAGCAACUUAGAAGAACCGCAAAGGCGGCGGCAGACAUAAGGAGGCGGGUAGCAGCUCCCGGUGGUUCUUGAUGCUCACAACGUCGUCGGCAGCACCCCACCACCACCAUGGCGGUGUCCCAUCCUAUCGAUACCGGCGACAUGGCUGACUGAGUAAAAGAAGAAGAAGAAAGAAACACGGAGAGGCGACCC
rnacentral:lncRNA from 1 species